ensembl:lncRNA
UUAGUUCAGGCUGGCAUUGGAUCUCAGCCUCCUGAGUGCUGGGAUCACAGGGGUGCACUACCACCCUUGGCUUAUCUUGAAUUUCUGGACCAUUACAAAAAACAGGGUCCAGCUAGGCUGUUUAGAAAAACCUGCAGAAGUGCUGAUUGCUUUUGUACCAACCAUGAGUAGCAGUUGUUGCGCCAACCCACCCCCGCAGUGUUGCUGUUACUGUUAGGGAGAUAUUUGUACCGAACCUCCUGAGCAUCAAGGGCUCGGAGAGGGAAGUUCCAUGUGUUCCCUUGGUGUACCGUCUGCUCAGAGAAGAGAAAUGUUGGUUUCUUCUGUUGGCUGGAGGAAUGACGUCCUGCUCUGAGGAAGAGUCACUGGCUGUCCACCCGUCAGGGAGCCUGGUGACAGCUGGAACAGUUGGAGGUUUUGAGAGGAGGUGAGGCCUGCAGUGUGCGACUCGGCCCUCACUGCUCUUCUCUUCCUUUCACAGCGGAUGUGAUGCUGGUGCAGCCCAGAGUAGAGUUUAUUCUGUCUUUCAUUGACCACAUUGCUGGAGAUGAGGAUCACACAGACGGUGUCGCAGCCUGUGCCGCUGGCCUCAUAGGGGAUUUAUGUACAGCAUUCGGGAAGGAUGUACUGAAAUUAGUAGAAGCUCGGCCAAUGAUCCAUGAACUGUUAACUGAAGGGCGGAGAUCGAAGACGAACAAAGCAAAAACCCUUGCAACAUGGGCAACUAAAGAACUGAGGAAACUGAAGAACCAAGCUUGAUCUGUUACCAUUGGGACGAUAACCUGAGACCCCCACUGGAAAUCUCCAAUCUUUUGAAAAACCCGGAAGUGAGGAGUGUGCACGGAUGCUGAGUGUUUGGGAGUGAGAGAAUGAGUGAGUGAGGCUUGAAAACACACCAUAUUGAAAAUCCUGCCACAGCAGCCACCAGCAGCGCUGUUAGUGAGCUAAGUAAGCACUGACUUCUAGGAAACCCCGACGUCAGCCGUCUUGGAGGAGAAGAGUGGAACGGAGCAGAGCGAUGGAUUUGCUGGCUUGUUAAAGCUGUCUCUUCCCAGGGGAGGCUAGGACUAGCUUUUCUGUCUUGUGGCCAGUGCCGAGCGGAAGACUGGUUUGGGAGAAGAGGAGGGGCUGGGCUCAGCUGUGGUGCUGUGUCGCGAAAGGCAGCCUGGUGAGGAGAGACAGGCCUGGGUCGCAAGCCCACCUUCACUGUCCCUUUGCCACGGGGUACUGUCUGUGUCGAGUGCCUGGUGGGAGGAGGAGGGCAAGGGGGCUUUACGGUCUGAGAAUGAGUGUGAGUGAGUGCGGCGGUAUCCACAUUCUCAACUUCAAGUCAUUGCAGUUUCCUUUUCCCAGAAAACAAGGGUUAGAUGUUGCAUUUCAAAAACUAACCGAAGUUCUGUCUACUGGUGCAGCACAAGAGAUGUUUAAAAAAAAAAAAAAAAAAGAGAGAGAAAGACGCUUUUUAGGUUUUGGCUUGGGUUUUUUUUUUUUGUUUUUCGUUUUUUUAAUUAUUCUAGGGAAAACACUGACGAAACGGUCAGAGCUCCUACCCUGAUCUCCCUCGGGCGCUUUCCUGAUGAUAAUGGUUCAACUGUGAAUGUAGAGGGGGGAGGGGGGGGAGAAAGAGAACCCGGAGUUAGAGACUAUAGAAAAGUAAAAAUGCAGACUUCAAAGACAAAGAAGCCACAGUCCUAACCAAAUUUUAAAUGGUCAAAAUUGGCAGGACAAAAGCAGAGCUCUCUCCUGUUUUGUAUCGCGUGGCAGUCUGAACGCCCCCAAAAAAAUUGUGCCAAAGAGUUUAGAAAAAUAAAUAUACAAUAAAAGUAAACACACACACACAAAACAGCAAACUUGAGGUAACUAUUUUGGAUUGCAAAUGAGGAUAAAUUUAAUGUUCAAACAAUCUGAUAAAAUAACCAUUUGGAAACUGCUUGGCCUUCUGUUCUCUUUUAUUGAUUGACUACAAUGCGGUAUUGGUCUAUUGCUGCACUUUCAAAACCAACUAACCUUCAACAAAACACAAAGCAAAGCAAGGAAUGUGUGUGUCUAUGCACGCACUGACUAGAGCUCUUGACAAAAUGGCACUUGCAAGGAUUCUAGUUUUCCACUGAAGUUGAAGAGUAAUAAAACAGUGUCAAACAUUCCCCUACUCACACACUUUAGUAUUUUUAAGAAGUGUGAUGUGCUGUGAUGAUCAUAAAUCAGAAUAUUUUCCCUUUACAAGGGGAACAGGGCACCCUGAGUCUUAGAAUCUCAGCAAUAAGGAAUGUCUGAGCUUUGUCCCCAUUGGGCUCUGCAGAUACUAGGAGUUUUUUGCUGGCAUUUUGAAUAUGCUGCUUUAAAAAACACCAAGGAAGUUUAAAAAUUGCUUCCUGGUAAUUGGAGGAUUAAAAAACAAAACCUCAUGCCCACUUUCAUUUCCAUUCUAGCUAGAAAUAUGGGCUUGUGCUUUUCGCCACCCCUUGCUUUGUGUCUUCCCCUCCCCAUCCAAGCCUUCCACUCAUGAGUGGGAUUGGCUUGGUUUUGCUCAUCCACACGGCAGCAUCUCUAAUAGCUCUUGUACAGGGUAUCAGAUAUUGUGCCUUUUGGUGCCAGGUUCAAAGUCAAGUGCCGAUCUGUGAACCAGUGUACAAAAAAAAAAAAACAAAAAUCCAGGUGUUUGAAGGAGAGCCGCUCCAUUGUGACCAGGAACACCAGCUCCUAAGCCCUACUGAAGAGGCCUGGUCCUCUAAUGAUAGACUCGCCAUUCCUGAGAGCAGAUAGGGUUGGGUCAGGGCUUAGGGGGGGGCAGGAAUGUUGGGGAAAGAAAAAUAAUCUGAUCAUUCCUCAGUGCUACCCAUUUCUGUCCUGUGUGGGCUGCUUAGCGAGACAGCAGCAGGAGAAUAAAGAACACCGAGAACCAUAUGAAAACAAAACCUCGCGUGUGUUUUGUGGUGUUUUGUUCCAGGGAGCAGUUGAUGAGUGCUGUUGUUAAUGCUUUCUCCCUGCUGGAGAGGAGAUGGGCUGGUUGGAUUGUGGUCUUGGUGCCUUGUAGACAUCCGCACUGGUUGCGUGUUUAGUCCUCUUUCCUUGCUCCCUCCGGCUGGCGGGUUCGCCGCAGUCCGGGUGUUUGUCCUUAAUCUGCGACACCCACGGGGCGACUGGAUGCACAUCCUGUCUGCAGCUGGGCCCUCUACUCCAGUCUCGGCACAUUCCUUCAAGAAUGUCCCUACCAUCUGCUUGGGAAGAUGUCGGUGCAAAUGUGAAGAUAAUGGGCAUCGGACUAGACUUUGGUUUGCCACGAGUGGCAGCUGCCUAUACAGUUACACUUAUUAAUUUUGCUCUUCAUUCUCCCGGUGCCCCUCAGCCCCUCUCUGUUGAAAUGUUGGUAUUUUUGCUGUCAGAGGCGACUAAUAUUGCCCUAAGGACUUGUGGAAAAAGGGAGGGGAAUUUGCUCAGUGUAGUGUUUUAACUUUGAAAACCAAGCAGUCUAUUUACUCUUGCUAUCUAAGAAGCGCGUUGGUCCAACUUUAAAGAGAAAUCCAAACUCCAUCAGCUUUUGGUAGUGUCUUGGUUUUGGAAACACCUUCCAUCUGUAAUUGGCAUUCAGAAUGCCUUUGGCAUGCCAGUCUGUGAUGGCAUUAAAGACCUGUUAAAACACUUGAGCCCGACUUUAUUAACCAAAACUGAUACCACCACCUUUAUCUUCUAAAUAAAGUCCACUUUAUUUUUAUUUUCAAC